GGGCGGAUAGCUCAGCUGGGAGAGCGCCUGCCUUACAAGCAGGAUGUCGCAGGUUCGAGCCCUGUUCUGCCCACCA
rnacentral:tRNA from 2 species